GACGAACGCUGGCGGCGUGCUUAACACAUGCAAGUCGAACGGAAAGGCCCUGCUUGCAGGGUGCUCGAGUGGCGAACGGGUGAGUAACACGUGGGUGAUCUGCCCCUUACUUUGGGAUAAGCCUGGGAAACUGGGUCUAAUACUGGAUAGGACCAUGCUGUAGGUGGUGUGGUGGAAAGAUUAGUUUCGGUAAGGGAUGAGUUGGCGGCCUAUCAGCUGGUUGGUGGGGUAAUGGCCUACCAAGGCGUCGACGGGUAGCCGGCCUGAGAGUGUGGACGGCCGAAUUGGCACUGUGGUACGGACCAGCCUCCUACGCGAGGCCGCAGUGGGGAAGAUUGCACAAUGGGCGCAUGCCUGAUGCAGUGAUGCAGCGUUGGCGCUGACGGGCUUCGGGUUGUAAGCUCCUUUCGGCCAUGUCGAAGCCCUUGUGGUGACGGUAGUGGUAGAAGAAGCACCGGCUAACUCCGUG
rnacentral:rRNA from 1 species